GCUUUUGCGCAGUGGCAGUAUGGGAGCCAAUGAGAUUUAUCCGAGGCACGAUUAUUGCUAAUUGAAAACUUUUCCCAAUACUCUUUUACAAUGAGGAAAGGCAGGCUCUUAGAAGU
rnacentral:snRNA from 1 species